AGGAAGGGGUGGAAUACUCUGUGAUUGAGGUCACAAAAAGCAAGAUUCUAGUGGGCUGGAGUUAUAUUGUUCAGAACUUUAUAUUCCAAAUAGAAUAUUUAGAAUUUUAUCUAAGAAACAAUGUGGAGUCACUGAAGAUCAUUGAAUAAGAGAAAGGCAGACAGAUUUCUGCUUUGGAAACUCAUUUUGGAAGCUAUGUGCAGAACAGUUUGGUAUAGAGUAGUGAUGGUGAACCUAUGGCACAGGUGCCAAAGAUGGCAAAAGUUCUCUCUUGGCCACACUCCCUUUCUUCCCGCAACUCAGAGUUUGUUACUAAAAAGGCAAGGGGACUCAGUAAACUGGGCACCCAAUUUGUUUUCUAUGAAUUUACUCUCCAGCCUCUUCAGAUGUAUUUCUUUCAGAGCUGUUCUCUUGGAGCAGUCAUUUAGUUCUGAAAGCAGCAUUCAUCUGAUUUUGUCUCUGCAAUCACUGUUCCAGAUGAACGUAUUCCCAAGGACAAAUUUGAAAGCACUAAUGCAGCUUUAUCUGUUUGAAGUGGCCUCCUCUGUCAUCAACAUUCACUGAACAUGAGGGCCCAUGCUCUAGUGUUUGCGGUAAGUACCUACAAGUUUUUAUUCAGCUCUCACAAGAGCCCUGCACUCUGUGCUCUCAGCAUCAUCUUGGAAGUUGCUUUCCCCACCCCAACCCCCCACUAAGAUGGAAAGAGUGCCAAUGGAUGGUUACAGCUCCAGGAAAGGAAAGAGACAUGCCAUUAAUUGAUUCCUAUUUCUACCAUUCCUCCAGGGAAGGAACUCAAAAUGGUGUCUACACAAUAACAAGAAAUUUGCCCAGGAAAUAGGAGGGUACAAAUGGCUCUAGGGGACAGUAUCUUUACCUAAAAAUCAACUCUAAUACUUUUUUCUAUCACUUUUAUUUCAGACUGGAAACUUUUUAUUCCUGCUAAUUGGUUAACAAUGGUUUAGUACAUUUUUAUAUUUAACACUAGCUCCAUAGACAAAAAAUGACAGGUAAUAGAUAGCUUAGAAAUCAAGCAUACUUGGGUUUUUCUUGCUUCUGACACAUCAUUGACUUCUUUUCAGUGUUUCAAGCUAUUGUUUAUUGUAUUCAACAGAUAAAGUAUAUGCUCUUUUGUUAAUAUUCUAUAUUGAAGAACUUCUGACUACUAGUGCCUUCCCUCUAAAACCAAAUUGCUUUUUACUAUUUUGUGUUUAUUUUAAUUUAAUUACAUUAUAGUCCAUAUAUACUUACAUAUGUGCAAUUUUAUGUGUAUUUUGAUAACCUAGAUAGUUCAUUAGACUCCUGGACAUGGAAUCAGGAAAUUCUGACUUCAGAUCCAGUCUCAGAAAGUUGCUAAAUAUGUGACCCUGAGAAAGUCACUUAACUUCUGUUUACUUUAAUAUCCUGGAGAAGGUAAUGGCAAACCAUUCUAGUAUCUUUGCUAAGAAACCCCAACAUGACUGAACAACAUCAACAAAUAUGUACUUUCUUCUCCAUGAAAAUACACAUUUCUUGAAACUAGAGUUUGUGUCAUUAUUUGGAUUUAUUUCUUCAGUGCCUGUCAUAG
ensembl:lncRNA